UUCAGUUAGUUUUGUGUAUUUUCGAAUUUCAGACGCAAAAAGAUUUUGAAAGAAAAUUGAAAGAAAUUUGUUUAAAAAAAAAGAAAAGAAAAACAAGCAGAAUCUAACGUCUCUUAAGGCUGGAAAUUCUAAAAUCAAAUACUUACUUAGAAAUGUACUACUUAGUGUGAACAGUGUUGCCAAUUAAGAAAAAAUUUGAAAAAAAGUGUUUGAAAUUUUAAACGUGUUUUUUUAAAUAAAAGUGUAUUAAACAAUUAAAUUCAAGUGUAUUUUUUCAACUAAAAAUUAAUUGUUAAUAAAUAAAUUUAAUUUAACAGUUAAAGACUAUAAUUAAGAAACUAUGCUGACACUAUGGCGGUUUUUUUAAGACAAAAAUAUAAAUGAUAACAACCAGCAAGCUGGCAGGAUAAACAGAAACCUAUACAUGAAAUGAAUUUUAAAGGUUUUAUAUAUUUAAAUAUUUAACUAGCAUCUUAGAAAAGAAAACAUAAAAACUUUAAAGAUAUAAACUAGUUUAAAGAAAAUUGUAUAAGAAAACU